rnacentral:rRNA from 1 species
CGACUCCUACGGGAGGCAGCAGUGAGGAAUAUUGGUCAAUGGGCGGAAGCCUGAACCAGCCAAGUCGCGUGAGGGAAUAAGGCCCUACGGGUCGUAAACCUCUUUUGCCGGGGAGCAAGGGCCGGGACGCGUCCCGGCCCGGAGAGUACCCGGAGAAAAAGCAUCGGCUAACUCCGUGCCAGCAGCCGCGGUAAUACGGAGGAUGCGCGCGUUAUCCGUAUUUAUUGGGUUUA